CGUAAAAAAGGAGUGCAUCUGAGGGAACCCAGAGGCAUGUUUAGAAGGGACGUAAAGGAAUGCGAAAAGCGUAUAUGAAGGGCUGAAGAGUCGUGAAGUACGGUGUCCGGAAGGGAAACCAGAGAGGCUAAAGAGUGAACGUUAGAGAGCGAGAGUCAAAGGUAGACAGGAGUGAUUGAGAGUGAAGGAUAUUAGUGGAAAGGUCGUGAAUUGAAACAUCUAAGUAGCGACAGGAAAAGGAAUCAAAAGAGAGUCCGUGGGUAGUGGCGAGCGAGAGCGGAUGGAGCAUGGAGGAGUAGUGCAGGGGAGAACUGUGUGAAGAGAGGGGAACCAUCCUCGGAAGUGUGGGAUACUAAACGUGACCGAUAGGGAAGAGUACCGUGAGGGAAAGGGGAGAAUCAGAAAGUAUAAAUGCACUUGGACUUGAGAGAGGACAGGGUACCUUUUGUAUAAUGGACCUGCAAGUUUAUAGGAGCUGGUGUAGCGGAACGAGAGGGAGGGAAGCGAAGGGAAACCAAGUAUGAAGAGUGCAAGAAAUCAGAGUUAUAAGAUACGAAAUUGUAGUGAGCUAGUCGUGACCAGGCUGAAUAUGUGGAAUAGGAGGGCCGAACGGGUGUCUGUGGCAAAAGGCUCCGAUGAGUUGCGAUUAGGAGUGAAAGGCUAAACAAACGCAAAGAUAGCUUAUAUUACGCGAAAUAUAUUGAAGUAUAGCGCCAAAAAAAGGACGUAUGGGGUAGAGGGAGCUUAGGGGAUGGCAGAAGUGGUCUCCUAGGGAACUACGAAUACAUGUGUAGGAAAAAUUGGUAGUGAGACUAUAGGCGAGAAGGUCUAUAGUCGAGAGGGAAACAGCCCAGAUUAAUUGGUAAGGUCCCAGAGGAACACUAAGUGAUAAAGAGGGUUACGAUUGGAAGACAAAUGAGAUGUAGGCUUGGAAGCAGCCAUCAUUGAAAGAAAGCGUAAGAGCUCAUGUGAAGGGGGAAGAAAUAGUAGCAUCGAAAAAUAAGCGGGACUAAAGUGUGGAACCGAAACAGUAAUGAACUAUAGGGAAGGAUAGGGAAGGUAGCGUAACAUCCUGGAGUAUUGAAGAAGGGUAGUGGAGAGAUUACUUAGAGAGAAAGGGAGAGAGAAUGCAGGUAUGAGUAACGACAAAGCCCGAAAGAGAACGGGUUCGCCGGAAGUCGAAGUGUUAGCUCCGAAUGUUAGGUAUGGAGUUGUGAGAAUAGUCCUUAAGCAUAGAACUGAAAAGGAAGUGUGAUGGGGGAGGAUAUGCAGGGAAGGUAGUAUGUAUAUGGGACCAAGAAGUAUAAAGAGGCCCAAGAAAAGCUGUAUAAGAAGGAAAAGACUAUAGCGGAAACCGACACAGGUGGAUAGGCAUAAGAAUGCUAAGGCGAGUGAGGGAAUUAUGUGGAAGGAACUCGGCAAAAUAACACUGUAACUUAGGGAGAAGGUGGCCCAAGGAGUGAUUGGGAAUGAGAACGAAAGGGCGCAGGGAAAGGGGGGUAGCGACUGUUUAAUAAAAACAUAGGUCCUUGCAAAUUAUGGAUAAGAAGUAGAAGGAUUGACGUCUGCCCGGUGUUGGAAAGUGAACGGAGAUGACGAAGUUAUCGAAGGAAGCUCCAAUAAACGGCGGUUGUAACUGUAACGAUCCUAAGGUAGCGAAAUUCAUUGGCCACUAAUUAUGGUCCGGCAUGAAGACGUAACGACUGCCCUACUGUCUCCCACGUAAGCUCAGUGAAAUUGAAGUGUCCGUGAAGAUGCGGACGACCAACAGCAAGACGAGAAGACCCCGUGAACCUUAACUAGACUCUGAUAAGGUAAGGAAGUGACCAAACAUGGAAGGAUGUGACUAUGCAGGAAGAUGGGAGAGGAUAUGAUACGGAAGUGUGAGAGUAUGGAAGUAGAAAGGAAUGGAAGGUGAGAGACCAUCUGGGGGUGACGGAGAGACUAGGAUACGAGGAAGUAGAAAGUGUCAGACUGCUAGUUUAUCUGGGGCGGAUGCCUCCUAAAGGGUAACGGAGGCGAUCAAAAGGCACGUAAGCUAUGGAAAAGACGAUAGCAGAAGUGGAACGGUAAAAACGUGCUUGACUGCGAGAGAGACAUCUGGAGCAGGUAUGUGCAGGAUAAAUGUGAAUAUGAAUGUAUGUAGGACGUAGUGACCCGGUUCGACUGAAUGGAAGGGGGAUCGAUCAACGAAUAAAAGGUACUCCGGGGAUAACAGGCUAAUCAGUCUUGAGAGUUCAUAUCGAUGGACUGGUUUGGCACCUCGAUGUCGCAUCGACAGAUCCUGGGGGAGAAGAAGCUCCCAAGGGUUCGACUGUUCGUCGAUUAAAGUGUUACGUGAUGUGGGUUUAGAACGUUGUGAAACAGUUUGGAUUCUAUCUACUGUUGGUGAAUGAGAAUGAUUGAAAGGAGAUAGCCCUAGUACGCGAGGACCGGGUAGUAUGUAUCAAUGGUGUACCUGUUGUUGAUGGAAAUUGAGCAUGGCAGGGUAGCUAAAUAUGAACGGGAUAACCGCUGAAAGAAUCUAAGUGGGAAGCCGACCUUGAGAAGGAUCAUAAAGAGCGUUAAAGAGAAUAACGAGAUAGGCUUGGAGUGUAGUUAAUUGGAAAGUUAUGAAGCGUAAGGGUACUAAAAGUAUGUAGGAAAGGGGGAG
rnacentral:rRNA from 1 species